rnacentral:rRNA from 1 species
GUGAGUCAUCGAGUCUUUGAACGCACAUUGCGCCUUUGGUAAUCCUAAAGGCAUGCCUGUCUGAGCGUCAUUACACCAUUCAUCCCCCUCUUUCUUUUUGUCACAGAAAAGGUGUUGGGGUUUGGACUUGGAGGUUUAAUGUCUGUACCGGUCAAACGGUGGGACACCUCUGUAAUGCCUCUUAUGCUGCUUGCAGUCUUUAGUCGAUUUAUAUCUAAAGCGUACUUUCAAAGUUCUGUUAGAGGGCUAGUCAUUCUUACUCUGUAGGUCCUACCUCACGGUAGUUCCUACUUCUCAAAGUUUGACCUCAGAUCAGGUAAGAAUACCCGCUGAACUUAAGCAUAUCAAUAAGCGGAGG